AACGAACGCUGGCGGCAGGCUUAACACAUGCAAGUCGAGCGCCCCGCAAGGGGUGCGGCAGCCGGGUGAGUAACGCGUGGGAACGUACCUUUUGGUUCGUAACAACUCCGGGAAACUGGAGCUAAUACCGGAUAAGCCCUAACGGGGAAAGAUUGAUCGCCGAAAGAUCGGCCCGCGUCUGAUUAGCUGGUUGGUGAGGUAACGGCUCACCAAGGCGACGAUCAGUAGCUGGUCUGAGAGGAUGAUCAGCCACACUGGGACUGAGACACGGCCCAGACUCCUACGGGAGGCAGCAGUGGGGAAUAUUGGACAAUGGGGGCAAGCCUGAUCCAGCCAUGCCGCGUGAGUGAUGAAGGCCUUAGGGUUGUAAAGCUCUUUUGUCCGGGAAGAUAAUGACGGUACCGGAAGAAUAAGCCCCGGCUAACUUCGUG
rnacentral:rRNA from 1 species